UCUCCGUAGGUGAACCUGCGGAGGGAUCAUUACAAGUGACCCCGGUCUUACCACCGGGAUGUUCAUAACCCUUUGUUGUCCGACUCUGUUGCCUCCGGGGCGACCCUGCCUUCGGGCGGGGGCUCCGGGUGGGCACUUCAAACUCUUGCGUAACUUUGCAGUCUGAGUAAACUUAAUUAAUAAAUUAAAACUUUUAACAACGGAUCUCUUGGUUCUG
rnacentral:misc_RNA from 1 species